rnacentral:rRNA from 1 species
AACGGCCGUACCAUGCUGAAUAUACCGGUUCUCGUUAGAUCACCGAAGUUAAGCAUCAUUGGGCGCGGUCAGUACUUGGGUGGGUGACCACCUUGAAACACUGCGUGCCGUU